rnacentral:rRNA from 1 species
AUGGGGACGCUGGAGCCUCUCGCAAACCUCACCUCUCUCACCCGAUUAAAAUUGUGCAAUUGUGGAGAGGAUCUAAGAUGCAAGGGCCUGGGGCCUCUCCUGGGACAUCUCAGAGAAUUUAUCGUCUUUGGCAGCCCUAGAGCAUUUGCUGGUUGGGAUCCCAAUCCCAGACAGGUGCUGCAGUACGAAGGAGAAGACCAGGAGCUGCAGCUAGUUUCCCCUUCGAGUUCAUCCCAAGUACAUAUCCUUUGUACGGAUGAGGCCAUGGGCCUCCUCGCCGCACCCAUCUGCAGCUUGCUGUCUUCCUCCCUCACCUGCCUGCACUUUCACCUCCUCGCCUCCGUCCCUGAUAAGAUUGAGCGCUUCACCAAGGAGCAAGAGGAUGCCCUUCACCUCCUCGUGUCCCUUCAGGAACUCGAGUUUUGGUAUUUCGACAAGCUUCAGAGCCUCCCUGCAGGGCUGCAAAAGCUUAUCAAUCUCCAGCGGCUACAGGUCCGCUCAUGUCCGGCCGUCCUGUCGCUGCCAAAUGAUGGCCUCCCAAAAUCACUGCAAGAAUUAGAUGUCCAGGAAUGCGGCAACGAGGAGCUAUUACAACAGUGCAGAGGGUUAGUGGGAACCAUCCCAAAAAUCCUACUGCAACAUGGAGACUGA